rnacentral:rRNA from 1 species
ACGCCUAACACAUGCAAGUCGAACGAAGUAGCAAUACUUAGUGGCAGACGGGUGAGUAACAUGUAGGUAUCUACCCUUUGGCCUGGAAUAACACGAGGAAACUUGUGCUAAUACCGGAUAAGUCUUUACGGAGAAAGCUUUAUGCACCAAUGGAUGAGCCUGCACUUGAUUAGUUUGUUGGUGGGGUAAUGGCCUACCAAGACUUUGAUCAAUAGCUGAUUUGAGAGGAUGAUCAGCCACAUUGGGACUGAGACACGGCCCAAACUCCUACGGGAGGCAGCAGUGGGGAAUCUUGCACAAUGGAGGAAACUCUGAUGCAGCGAUGCCGCGUGAGUGAAGAAGGCCCUUGGGUUGUAAAGCUCUUUCGUCGGGGAAGAAAAUGACUGUACCCGAAUAAGAAGGUCCGGCUAACUUCGUGCCAGCAGCCGCGGUAAUACGAAGGGACCUAGCGUAGUUCGGAAUUACUGGGCUUAAAGAGUUCGUAGGUGGUUGAAAAAGUUGGUGGUGAAAUCCCAGAGCUUAACUCUGGAACUGCCAUCAAAACUUUUCAGCUAGAGUUUGAUAGAGGAAAGCAGAAUUUCUAGUGUAGAGGUGAAAUUCGUAGAUAUUAGAAAGAAUACCAAUUGCGAAGGCAGCUUUCUGGAUCAUUACUGACGCUGAGGAACGAAAGCAUGGGUAGCGAAGAGGAUUAGAUACCCUCGUAGUCCAUGCCGUAAACGAUGUGUGUUAGACGUUGGAAAUUUAUUUUCAGUGUCGCAGCGAAAGCGAUAAACACACCGCCUGGGGAGUACGACCG